rnacentral:tRNA from 1 species
GUGGGUAUAGCUCAGGGGCAGAGUGCAUGCUUAGUGUGUUUGAGGUCCUGGGUUCAAUCCCCAGUACUACCA